UCAAACUUGGUCAUUUAGAGGAAGUAAAAGUCGUAACAAGGUCUCCGUUGGUGAACCAGCGGAGGGAUCAUUAGCGAGUUAACAAAACUCCAAACCCAUGUGAACAUACCUUCUGUUGCCUCGGCAGGUCGUGCUGCGCGGCCGGACCGCUACCCUGGAGCAGCUACCCUGAAGUAGCUACCCUGGAGUUGGCGGCACCUACCCUGCAGCACACAACCAGGCCUGCCGGAGUGCUCCUAAACUCUGUUUUACACCUGUAUCUCUGAGUCUAUUAUACAAAUAAGUUAAAACUUUCAACAACGGAUCUCUUGGUUCUGGCAUCGAUGAAGAACGCAGC
rnacentral:misc_RNA from 1 species